AGCUUGAUAUUUUAGUUAAAAUGAUAAAUUGCAAGUUUGUUGACGCUUAUUGGCUCAGGCUU
rnacentral:tRNA from 1 species